rnacentral:lncRNA from 9 species
UGAGAGAUGUCCGCUGAGGAGGAGAAAGCUGGAGACAUGGACCUCGCGGAUUCUCCGGCUGAGCUUCAGAUGAGAGACUGUGCUGCUGGCUGGCUGGCUGUGGUGUCCACAUUUAAGGAAGAAGAGUCUCAAGCCCCAUUGAGCCCUGACAGCCAUCACGAGGUUGGCAGCAAAUUUGGACCUGAGCAGGUGCUUAUUUCUUCUGUAUGGUCUCUUUCUUCUCUUCUGGCUUCCCAGCCCCAAGCCCAGAGACUGACGAAUCUGAUGAAAACAAAUGACAUAGAGGCAGGAAUGGGACAUAUUCAAGAUGAGAAUGGUUCCUUGGCAGCUGAGAAGUGCCGCCUCUCCUGGACCACGUGACCUAUGAACCCACCUGGAAAGCAUGUUCUUGUUCCUGAACAAGGUUUUCUUUUUAUUCGACUUCUCCCUUCCAAAGAAUGGUAAGAGGGAAUAGACCAUCUUACAGAGGCAAGCUCUUGCUUCCUCACAAUUCCACUCCAUAGACUUUCCCUACGGCACUUUGAGUGAAGAAGCUGAGAAUAUUUGGUUUUAGUUCUAAUAGUCAGUUCUGGUAUAUUAGUUUUCUAACCAUUGAAG